UACGUAGGGACCAAGCGUUGUUCGGAUUUACUGGGCGUAAAGGGCGCGUAGGCGGCGCGGUAAGUCACUUGUGAAAUCUCUGAGCUUAACUCAGAACGGCCAAGUGAUACUGCAGUGCUAGAGUGUGGAAGGGGCAAUCGGAAUUCUUGGUGUAGCGGUGAAAUGCGUAGAUAUCAAGAGGAACACCUGAGGUGAAGACGGGUUGCUGGGCCAACACUGACGUGAGGCGCGAAAGCCAGGGGAGCAAACGGGG
rnacentral:rRNA from 1 species